CAUGCCGUAAACGAUGAGUGCUAAGUGUUAGGGGGUUUCCGCCCCUUAGUGCUGCAGCUAACGCAUUAAGCACCCCGCCUGGGGAGUACGGCCGCAAGGCUAAAACUCAAAGGAAUUGACGGGGGCCCGCACAAGCGGCGGAGCAUGCGGAUUAAUUCGAUGCAACGCGAAGAACCUUACCAAGGCUUGACAUAUAGAGGAAACGGCCAGAGAUGGUCGCCCCGCAAGGUCUCUAUACAGGUGG
rnacentral:rRNA from 1 species